rnacentral:lncRNA from 1 species
CACCCUUGAACAACUUAUGUCGUUACCAUGCCAGAGUGUGACAGAUACCGAUGAACAAAAUCUCUCUGGGGAACUAGGCGAGACGCCGGUGGGAACUCUUACAUGUGAACCUGGUACGAGUACUUUUCAGCCUUGUUCGUCGUACCGCGAGGGAUUCGGUUGUCCAAUGACACCUGAAACAUCAGCAGGUGGACUGUCCAGCAAAGGCACAGAUGACGUUUCUGCAAACAGUGUAGUGCGCCCUGGUGUUGCGGGCAGGACGGGCAAACUAUAUCGAGACGAAAUCGGAUCAUGGUCAGUGAACGCGGGUCAAUUCCUCUCUAAGAGCUCCAGGAGAUGCAAGAAAGAAACCCUCACGAUGGAGGUGAAAAGACGGUUCAUGUCGGGAAUGAAAGGCUUAGUGUCUGCCAUACGCAGAUGGAUCAUUGGAGCAGUGUUUUUAUUACGUCACCCCGUUGCAGGUUUCGACUCUUGAAGGGACUUGAUACUUAGUAGAGCAGUUUUUUGAUGUUCGACAUAGCGAGGCCGCGUACUGUCGAACUUGUUUGUGCAACGGAUGGCAGCGUCGAGAUUUCGAUCGCUGGAACACAGGGCAGCCGAACCAUCGAACAUGAGCGACAUUGCUACUAAUCUGUCGCCUGUUGUUAAGGAUGCCAGUGAUGCAUUUUGGCAGCUCCAGGAUUUCUCUGUGGUGCUAGAAUCACGACUCCGACACUGCCUGUCAGAUGGGCUCGCGACAAAGCGACACUCUCACGUGCCUACCAAAGAUUGCAACUGAGCCAAUGUUGGGGAAACUGUUUCACAUCGCUCACAGCGUCUGCAGUUAUUUCUUCGUUCCGCUUACAAAUGAAGAAGCUAAGCAAGCUCUGAAGUAGCAUGUUCCAGGUGGGUUACAGGCAAGGAGCCUACAGUGUGUGCGUGCAUGACUUUUGUCGGGCCUCCCUCGAUAGAUGGACGUCCCAUGCAUGCAUCCAUGGGUGUGCGUGGUGUCCAGCGUAUGUGCUUUAUGCUAGAAAACGUGUUUCCGGUGUGUACGAAUUCAAGACGCUGAGCGCUGUCGCUUGUAUCUGUCCGACUGUAAUGGCGUGUGGCCCUGGGUCCAAUUAACCUGGCAGCGGUUCUUCCUGC